UACAGGGUCCUACCUGAGGCAGCACAGGUGUGACUGUUGGGCUUCCUUUUCUAUGUCCUCAAUGAACAAAGGACUUCUGAUUGGGAAUACCAAGUGUGGACCUCCUAGACAAAGUCGUCCCCUGGGUUUUCUAAAGAGUAAAUAUUGACAACAUUUUAUCAUCUUUAAAACUGAAAAAAGCAAGGAACACAAAGUUCUACUAAAGUCCUAGAAUUCUUGCAUAAAGGACGUUUCCAUUUCUGAGAGAAGAGUAAGACAUGGAUCCCAACCCCCCUCAUUGUUCAUUUUUCUUCUAGCAUCAGGGCAGAGCCAAGAGAAGGAGGAAAGGAGGGACACUGGAAGAUGGCAGAUGGUACCAACGGGAAGUGGAGGAGGCCCGGAAGCUGAUCUCGAUUUUAAGAAGCCCCCUCGGCCGGCAUCAUGAUACCAUCCACUUUCGUCAACUGUUAUGUCCAGACCCCUCCUGUGAGAUAUGUAACAGCACAUCUGCGGAGAUCGAUCGGCUGCUGUUCCUGCAGGCUCUGGAAGAUUCUACUCCCUUGGCUUCCACAGCUUCUGUGACUUCUUCAUCAUUCACUCUCUCCACUGACUUCUCAGCAGUCCCUCCAGGAGAGCUAAUACCAGCUUCGCUGUCUGAGUCUUCCCCACCACCUGCCUCCAUCUUCUCACCUAACCCAGUGAUCCCUGUGGCUGAUUUCUUUCCACCCUCACCACCGGGUGAUUCUGUGCCACCAGAGCCCUUUCCUCCCUUGGAUUCCAAAUUCCCAAUGGACCAUUUCCCAGCCCAGCCCCCUGCCUUUCCACCUCCUGUCCCAUCCCAUCAUGCCCAUUCAGUGGACCGUAGCGUCCAAACAGAGACAGUGUCUCUAAAUACCCUUUCCCAAGAUGUCAGCCCCUUACCGGAGUUGUGGGAGCAGUGUCCAUAUCCUACCACCUCGGAAGAGGGCCAUUUACAGCAAACCCCCAUCCAGUUCUUCUGGGGUCUCCAAACUCCAAGCAGGUCCUUCUUCCCUGCUGCCUCCCCAGAGCAGGAAUCCCCAGGAGUUCCCCAUCCACUUCCUCCAUCCUUGCCUGAGAACCCGCCUCAACUCCUGCCUCAAACCCAGCCCCUACCUCUCCCUCAUGUCCAGCCCCAGGCCAACCUUCAAUCCCCACUCCCAAUCCUGCCAUCUGGUCCUCUACCUGACAUCAAAAUCUGUGGAGCUUGUUUCCACAGACCUCAAAAUGAGUCUGAGAGUCUGCCAUCAACAGAAAUGGAACAUCUGGAAUCGAACGUGUUGCAGAAGAUACAGAAACGUGUGUGGGGUUUACCCACUAUAGUCCAAAGAUCCCAGGAGGACUACUGU